CCAGGGCUCGAACCUGUGUCCCUUGCAUUGGCAGGCGGAUUUUUAACCACUGCACCACCAGGGAAGUCCCAAGCUGUUAUAUUUUGUGUGCCAACAAAUCCUUUCUGUUUUACUGAAAUGCUUUCUACUAACUUCAUGUUAUAUAAAGGAAUGGAAAACUAUAAUUAGGAGUUUGUGUUCUACAUGUGCUUUACUUUGUCAUUACCUGAAUACAAGCUUUGCCUUUAGAAUAUGGAUAAUAAUUUAACAAUAAUUACUUACUCACCUGUUUAAAUUUUUUUAAUUUAUAGCAUUUUUUCUUGCUUCUUUUUUGCAGUCUGUAACUAUAACAGUAACAAAUUCAGACACAGUGAAUGAUGUUAUCAACAUGUCACUUUCAAAGCUAGGAAUAACUGGCAUGAACAUCCCUAUGGAAUUAAGAUGAGCCACUUCCAGCUACUGUGCUCCUGCAGCGGGGACUGGACGACUCCACCUCUCCUUCCGCCCUUCAGGAGGCCUGCCUCCUGAAGCAGGAGUCCCAAGAGAUUCAAGCCCGGUGAAACCCAAGCACUCAGCCAGGAUCCAAGCCAGGAAUCAGUGGGGAAAGAUUCAGGCCAGAAGACAGUUAAGAGGAGUUCAGUCAAAAACUGGGCCUUGGGCUUCCCUGGUGGCGCAGUGGUUGAGAGUCCACCUGCCGAUGCAGGGGACAGGGGUUCGUGC